AAGAGGACAAGUUAGGCCAGACGAAGAAGUGUGGAUGUGUCAGGUUGAGGGUUGGGUCGAAGGUCAAGGAAAUGUUGGAGUGCACGCAGCCCCUCGUAGUGAGGGAUUUCCGUGUAUAAACUCUUGAUUUCAAGAGUGAAGAGAAGUUUAGAGGGGCCAAGAGGGAAGAAGAAAGAGUUGAACAAACGAAGAGCAUGGUUGGUACACAAUCCUUUAUU